UCCAACGGGAGGCAGCAGUAGGGAAUAUUGCUCAAUGGGCGAAAGCCUGAAGCAGCAACGCCGCGUGCGUGAUGAAGGUCUUCGGAUCGUAAAGCGCUUUUCUGGGAGAUGAGAAAGGACAGUAUCCCAGGAAUAAGUCUCGGCUAACUACGUGCCAGCAGCCGCGGUAAAACGUAGGAGGCAAGCGUUAUCCGGAUUCACUGGGCGUAAAGCGCGUGCAGGUGGCGCGGUAAGUUGGAUGUGAAAUCUCCCGGCUCAACUGGGAGAGGUCAUUCAAUACUACCGUGCUUGAGAGCAGAAGAGGAAGAUGGAAUUCCCGGUGUAGUGGUGAAAUGCGUAGAUAUCGGGAGGAACACCAGUGGCGAAGGCGAUCUUCUGGUCUGUUUCUGACACUCAGACGCGACAGCUAGGGUAGUAAACGGGAUUAGAGACCCCGGUAAUCCUAGCCGUAAACGAUGUGAACUUGGCGUUGGUGGGUUAAACUCCAUCAGUGCCGUAGCAAACGCGAUAAGUUCACCGCCUGGGGACUACGGCCGCAAGGUUAAAACUCAAAGGAAUUGACGGGGGCCCGCACAAGCAGCGGAGCGUGUGGUUUAAUUCGAUGCUACACGAAGAACCUUACCCAGGCUUGACAUACAGGUGGUAGGGAUCCGAAAGGUGACCGACCCGCAAGGGAGCCUGUACAGGUGUUGCAUGGCUGUCGUCAGCUCGUGUCGUGAGAUGUUCGGUUAAGUCCGCUAACGAGCGCAACCCUCGCUGCGUGUUACAAGUGUCACGCAGGACCGCCGGUAUUAAGCCGGAGGAAGGUGGGGAUGACGUCAAGUCCGCAUGGCCCUUACGCCUGGGGCAACACACACGCUACAAUGCCACCGACAGUGCGCGUGCGACCUAGUAAUGGGAAGCUAAUCGACAAACGGUGGCCCAGUGCAGAUUGGGGGCUGAAACUCGCCCCCAUGAAGGCGGAGUUGCUAGUAACCGCGCAUCAGCAUUGGCGCGGUGAAUACGUACCCGGGCCUUGUACACACCGCCA
rnacentral:rRNA from 1 species